rnacentral:rRNA from 1 species
UACGGAGGGUGCGAGCGUUGUCCGGAAUCACUGGGCGUAAAGGGCGCGUAGGCGGUCUGCUAAGCGUGCGGUGAAAGCCUGGGGCUCAACCCCAGGUCUGCCGUGCGAACUGGUGGACUGGAGCACUGUAGAGGCAGGUGGAAUUCCGGGUGUAGCGGUGGAAUGCGUAGAGAUCCGGAAGAACACCGGUGGCGAAGGCGGCCUGCUGGGCAGUUGCUGACGCUGAGGCGCGACAGCGUGGGGAGCAAACAGG